rnacentral:rRNA from 1 species
AUUGAACGCUGGCGGCAGGCCUAACACAUGCAAGUCGAACGGUAACAGGAAGAAGCUUGCUUCUUUGCUGACGAGUGGCGGACGGGUGAGUAAUGUCUGGGAAACUGCCUGAUGGAGGGGGAUAACUACUGGAAACGGUAGCUAAUACCGCAUAAUGUCGCAAGACCAAAGAGGGGGACCUUCGGGCCUCUUGCCAUCGGAUGUGCCCAGAUGGGAUUAGCUAGUAGGUGGGGUAACGGCUCACCUAGGCGACGAUCCCUAGCUGGUCUGAGAGGAUGACCAGCCACACUGGAACUGAGACACGGUCCAGACUCCUACGGGAGGCAGCAGUGGGGUAUAUUGCACAAUGGGCGCAAGCCUGAUGCAGCUAUGCCGCGUGUAUGAAGAAGGCCUUCGGGUUGUAAAGUACUUUCAGCGGGGAGGAAGGGAGUAAAGUUAAUACCUUUGCUCAUUGACGUUACCCGCAGAAGAAGCACCGGCUAACUCCGUG